rnacentral:misc_RNA from 1 species
UAAGAGCGUGGGAGAAAUUGGGACC